CUGGAGGAGCAACGUGCUUUACCCACAUGGGGUGACCCGCAGCGACAUCUACAGGCUAUAUAAAUAAACAUACUAACACAACACGGUACUAAGGAAUGUGUUACCAGUCAUGUUGGACUUCAUGCAGCACUGUGCAGGAUUCGAGAACAUACAGAGCAGUCAAUUCUCAUGGUACCUUGAUGACCAAUAAUAGAUGUGUUGUGCAGCUCGGCCUCAUUAACUCUCUCUGACCUCAGUGACAUAACAUCAGACCUCUCAUCACACACAGCAAACACUGAGGUGUAAAGAAAGAGAAGUUUAAUCAGCGCUCAGCAAGCACGGCCCGUACCCAGAUGCUGACUGGAAACAUUCCCUCAGGAUAAAACCAUCACACACGGAGUCAGAGGAAGACUUGAAUUGUGUCUUUAAGACUCUGAGGAUUUGAACUCCAGCGAUUCUGUGCAGAGGUCCCUCUGAGCACUUUCUCACGCAACUGUUGUUGCCAAAAAAACCUCUUACAUACAGUAUUACUUGAACAUUUUUAUUAUUUGUAUUAUUUGGCUGAGUGAUUUUCUGGGUAUUUACAUGUUAUUUAAUACAUUUCUACUGCUUCUGAUCAGUCUUCGGUGGAUUCAGGAACAUAUCAAAUGGAAUUUGUUGUAAAGAAUCAAGCUGGUAUUUUCCAUACACUUAAAGAAAAUGAAGGUGGAGGCUGUCAAACUUCAAAAAUCUUAAAAGUCUUACAAGAGCACAUUGAAAUCAUUGAAUCAAAUUACGGGCAUGAAUAAGAUUUCAGAGCUAUUUACAGAAUUCUCUCCAAAUGACGUUUCGUCUACGAAGUCAUCAUGUGGCUCCAAAAAGUCUUGAGCUAUACUUUUCUGAAGCUCAACACCCCUCAUUCACUUUUAUUACAUUUAAAAUGUGUACAGGACAUUUAUGGACAAGUGUAGAACAGAUUGAACAUGACAUUUGUGUAAAAAAGACUGGACUUAAAGGGAUAGUUUACUAUGAAGUCAUUGAUGAGAUCUGACAUUUUUCCAAAUAAUAUUGGAAGAAAUUAUUUAAAAUAUCCCCUUUGACGAAAUAUCUGUCGAGUUACAAAAAUAAUGUGUAUUCAUCACAAAAAACACUGAUUGUUAAAUAAUAAUAAAAAAAAACAAUCUUCUCGUUUUCUCUCAACUGGUAUUGUUCUGGCUUUUGUUGAAACCAGUAACUUUGUAUUAUCACCUAUUGUAUUAUUGCUCCUGUAUGACAUAUCGCUUAUUGCUCCCUGAACUCUCUGUAAGUCACUUUGGAUAAAAGCGUCUGCUAAAUGACUAAAUGUAAAUGUAAAUCACCUCUUGUAUUGUUUUCACCUGUGACAUUCAAAAGGGCAUGUUUAAAUAAAACAUUUCAAAGACGUUCAAUAUUUGCAUUAGAAAAUUAACUCACUUACAGUCAUCUCUCAUAAUAAAAGAUUACAAAUAUUAGCAAGAUGGGUUUCCUGAUCCAGUAUAAUAUCAAAAUGAAGCCAUGAAAGCAGAGGCAGUUUCAUUAUUUAUUCUGCAGAAAACAGCUUGUGGAUGUUUGUGUAGCAUACAGUAGAUAGGAAAGCAAUUAGUUUAGUUAAACAAG